UGUUAAAGUAAAUUUGAAAAAAUCUGUAAUGUGUUUCUUGUAAAAUUAUCCUUGAACCAUACUCAAAUACAAAGUUUAUAUACAGUUGUACAAGUCUACAGCCACAGCAAAACGUUUCAAGAUCAUAUGCAUCUUAUUGCUAAGCACCAAGAAGAAGAAAAUGCUAGCUCGUUGCUUCCUGGAUAUCACAGAAUGGGUUUAUCAAGGAGUGCGGCAAAUUAGAGUCGCUCUCCUCGAUUUAGCCCAGCUAUAUGAUAGUGAAACAUCCAGAAUGAAGACUGUAUAUAUAUUUUUUAUAAAUUAUAACAUUCUUAUAUAAAACAUCUAUAUUUCUGGUAAAAAUAUU